rnacentral:rRNA from 1 species
AAAAGGCAUGGUCCCGACCUUACUAUCAGCUGUGACACAAUUUACACAUGCAAGUCUCCGCCACCCAGUGAGUAUGCCCUCAGUCCCCCGCCCGGAGACGAGGAGCGGGCAUCAGGCACAAUAGUUAGCCCAAGACGCCUAGCCAAGCCACACCCCCAAGGGAAUUCAGCAGUGAUUAACAUUAAGCCAUAAGUGAAAACUUGACUCAGUUAGUGUUAAUAGGGCCGGUAAAACUCGUGCCACUACCGCGGUUAGACGAGAGGCCCUAGUUGAUAUUACAACGGCGUAAAGGGUGGUUAAGGACAAACAGAUUUUUAAAGCCAAAGGCCCCUUGGCCGUCAUACGCUCCUGGAAGCCCGAAGCCCAAUACACGAAAGUAGCUUUAAUAAA